rnacentral:rRNA from 1 species
CAGUUUUGGCGGAGCCAUCCUUGGGAUACCACCCUUGUAGUACUGGGACUCUAACCAUAGGCCAUGAAUCUGGUCUUGGGACACUGUCAGGUGGGCAGUUUGACUGGGGCGGUCGCCUCCCAAAAGGUAACGGAGGCGCUCAAAGGUUCUCUCAGUACGGUCGGAAAUCGUACGUAGAGUGUAAAGGCAAAAGAGAGCUUGAUUGCAAGACAUACAGGUCGAGCAAGGAUGAAAAUCGGACUUAGUGAUCCGGUGGUUCUGCGUGGAAGGGCCAUCGCUCAACGGAUAAAAGCUACCCUGGGGAUAACAGGCUUAUCUCCCCCAAGAGUCCACAUCGACGGGGAGGUUUGGCCCCUCGAUGUCGGCUCAUCACAUCCUGGGGCUGUAGUAGGUCCCAAGGGUUGGGCUGUUCGCCCAUUAAAGUGGUACGCGAGCUGGGUUCAGAACGUCGUGAGACAGUUCGGUCCCUAUCCGUCGCAGGCGUAGGAAAUUUGAGAAGACCUG